UCUCUGGUGGUCCAGCAGUUAAGACUCCAUGAUCCCAAUGCAAGAGGUCCAGGUUCAAUCCCUGGUCAGAGAA
rnacentral:tRNA from 1 species